rnacentral:rRNA from 1 species
UACGCAGGGGGCUAGCGUUGUUCGGAAUUACUGGGCGUAAAGCGCACGUAGGCGGAUUUGUAAGUCAGGGGUGAAAUCCCGGGGCUCAACCUCGGAACUGCCUUUGAUACUGCAAGUCUCGAGUCCGAUAGAGGUGAGUGGAAUUCCUAGUGUAGAGGUGAAAUUCGUAGAUAUUAGGAAGAACACCAGUGGCGAAGGCGGCUCACUGGAUCGGUACUGACGCUGAGGUGCGAAAGCGUGGGGAGCAAACAGG